ensembl:lncRNA
GUUUUAUUUGUCAUAUGCAAGUUAGCACAGGGUCAACAUUGCAAUGAAAUGUGUUUGACGAGCAGCAGUCACUCAGCAGCAUGGUACAGUAGAAAUAUAAUAAAAUAUAAUAAAAUAAAAAAUAGAAAAAUAGUAAAGAGCAAAAUAUUAGAGAGACGUGGUAAAAGAGAAAAGAUGACUAAAUAUAUAUGUAUCUAUAAAUAUAAAUAUAUGUACACUAGUGAUUAAAUAAGAAAAUCUUGAAAAGAAAUAUGACGGGAGGCCAAAUGGGAUGUUGCACAGGAAUGAGCAGCAGAAAAUUACAGUAUUACUCAGACUUUUAAUAGUCAUAUUGUCAGUUUUGGCCGACGGUCAUGGGUCACUUCCACUAAAAUAGCAGGAGACUGGAGUAAAAUGUACUUUAUUAAUGAGAACACAUGGUGAUACAGCAAAGAAUCCAACCCUUCUGAAAAGCAAAUGGCUUCCUGUCAUACUCUACCUGAUUCAGGUGAGCAUCUGGAAUAGACCAAGUCUGGGGGUCAGUAAACCAAAGGAAAACAAAACCCUCCCCAUAAGAAAACCACUACAAUAUAACCAACACGUUCUCACUCCCAAAGCGUAACAUUUUACGCUAGGUGACAAAUCGUCACCAUAUUACGUUUUUGGCUACCCACCACGUUCCUAAAUGACGACCUCGGAAAAAAGAGGAAAUAUGAGAACCGUCUGGACUGAAUCUACACAUGUUUGCUCUUUUUCUUCAAAUCGCUUAGAAACACGCUAUUUAACAUCAUUAAAGUCCUGGUUAAGGUCAGGAAUAAGGUUAUGGUCAGGGCUAGGGAUAAGGUUAGGUUUAGGGCUGGAAUACAGGGCUGGAACGUCUAUUACCGCGGGAGCGUCAUUGCACUGGAUUCCAGCCAUAGCCCGCCGCGUACCAUAAGAACGCCGAAGGUCUCCUUUCGCGUUCCUCAGGAACGCCGCGGGACGUGACAAAACGUCGACAUGUUACGCCUCGGGAGUGAGAAUGGGCUGAUAUAGCACAUCAUAGACAUAUGAAGAUUUGGAACAAGUCCUAUAAAUAAUUCCAUAACAUAUAAACUUCAGUCUCUUCUAUAUACAUUAAAACAGCAGUCCCCAACCUUUUUUGCGCCACGGACCGGUUUAUGCCCAACAAUAUUUUCAUGGACCGGCCUUUAAGGUGUCACAGAUAAAUACAACAAAAUAAAACUAGUACCGGUACCGGAAAAAAAGAAGAUUUAUUCAUAACACACGUGAAAGACCCAGGAAAACAGAGUUAACGAUAAAAACGAUAACAAAAUAACGAUAAAAACUCUGAAAACCAUACAUUUCACACCCGAGCCUCAUCUCUCGACCAAACGACGGUCCG